GUUUUUAUAGUUUAAUAAAAAACAUUAAUUUUGUAAAUUAAAGUUAGAAUUUUCUUAAAAACA
rnacentral:tRNA from 1 species